AAACAAAAAAAAAAAAAAAAAAAAAAAAAAGAAACCCCAACACCUUAAACAAAGCUCUUCGUAUGUUCCGCCAUUAUUUCCCCAAAAAGAAGCAAACAACCCACCAAAUCUUCCUAACUUAUCUUCAAUUUCAACAAAUCAGAAAAAAAUGGAAAAUAAUAAAAUUCUUGAUCAUCUUGGCGGAAUUAUGAUCCAAAAUAGUGAAAUUUUCAAAACUGAAUUAACCCCAAAAAUUGAGAGGGAAUUUUUUUAUUUUCAUCUGUUAUUCCCUCCUAAAAUUUUCACAAUUAAAAUACAAGUAUGUGGUAAAUAAUCCCCUUGUCUAUCCUUUUUUUUUAUUAAAUUUUCCUCCUAUAAAUUUACACUAAGCAAUCUCAAAAGUUAGAUUUAAAAUAAAUCUUACUACUCGAACUCAGAGAAAUCAGACGAAGAAAAUAGCGAUUGGAAGCAGUCGAAUUUGAUUUGUUGGAGUACUUAUCACCGUCCAAGUUUUUCUUCUUUAGCUCCAAUAUGUCAAGAUCAGGAGGAAAGGCUCCUUCAAAAGAAAACUACAUAGCUCAAAAUGAGUAUGAAAUACAAAGACUCAGGACAAUUGAAGCUAACAAGACGAGGAUGAAGACUUUGGGCAUAAAGCGCAUUGCCGCUUCUUUGACAAGUUUAGUAGAUAGCUCAAAAGUUAAGAAAAGUAAAGAAAAGUGUAAUGCAUCACUUGAGAAAGAUAGUGAUUAUGUACCCGAUGAGAAUGAGUAAGUUGAGUAUGAGAAAGAAACUCACAAUGUGACUUCAAAUAAGAAGGUUAAAAUUAAUGAGAACAAAGAAAGGGAUCGAAGGAGCAAUCUCAUUCCACCAAUGUCAAUUGCUAGGUUAUUAAGAUCAAAUAAAAAAAGACAGGCAAGACAAGGAAAUAAAAACGGUGAUAAAACCGGAAGAGGACGAUAUGAAGCGCAACACUCUGAAAACAAUAAUGAUAAUGAUUUGCAAGGUCGAGAAGGUGAUAACAGUUUAGAUCAAACAAGAGAUGACAUUACUUUAAAAGGACAAGAAGAUUUCAACAAUGCAGACAUGAUUAGAAGUUAUGAUGAUGAAAUACCUAUAAAUGAAGGAGAAGACAACAAUGGAACUAAAAAAAAGAGAAAAACUUAUAAGACUAACAAUCCUAGAGGCCCUACAAGAAAUCUUCAAAUGGCAAAAAUGAGACCUGGUGAGAAAAAAAAAGUGGAUUUUAACAUAAAAGGUCAGCCGAUUGGUGUGAAUAGGGCUUGUUUGGCAAAUUAUUGUGGUGGUCUUGUACGAGAUCCUCUUAACGCUCCACUUUAUGAGGUGAAAGUAUUUUAACAGAUUUCGAAAGAAAAUAAGGAGAAGAUGUGGCAACUUGUUCUGGAAAAAUUUGAUAUAGGACUUGAAGAUGAUGAGGAUGAAGAGGGACGUGAAAAGAAGUUAAAAGAAAGAAAAAAGUUUAUCAUGGAAUCUUUGAAUAAGAAGUAUAGGAAUUAUCGCGCAAGAUUGAAAAAUACUUAUUAUGAUACAGUUGGUACAGAUGAAGAUCGACUUAAAGAGGAAAAUAUGCCUCCAAAUGUUGAUGAAAAUGACUUGAAAUGGCUUGUUGAAUAUUUUGGGUCAACAGAAUUUAAGGCCAUAAGUAAAAGAAAUGCUGACAAUCGAUCUUACCAAGAUGCUGGACACACUGCUGGGACAAAGAGUUUUGCUCAAAAAGCCGAAGACAUGUUCAAUCGUGACAAAGUAGUGCCAAGCAUGUUGGAUUUAUACGAGGAAACUCAUUCUAAAAGUGAUAAAGCACCUAUCACUGAAGUGGCAAAAUAAACCAUGUCAAAAAUUAAAGAUCUCCUUAUGCAACGUGAGGCAGGAGAAAUAGACAUGACCGAUGAAGAAAUCUAUGCAAAAGGUAAGCCCAUUGGUAAACGUGGUCGUUAUCGUGGCAAGGGAGUCAGUCCUUCUAUUACAUCAUUAUAUGGGACAUUUAGUGAAGGAGAAAAGCUACGCAAAGAAGUCGAUGAAGCAAAGAAUGAGGCAAUAGAGGCUAAACAAGAGGCAAAAGAAGCUAAUGUGAAAAAUAAAGCCCUAAAUAAAAAGAUGAGAGGCCUUCAGAAUGAAAUGGAGGUCAUGAAAGAUUUCAUGAGGAAUAUUUUGAACCAUCUAGGCUAUGAUUUGUCUGAAAGGUUAAUGAUAACGAGGAUGACUAUGAGGAAGAUAAUGAGAAUAACGAUGAAGAGGAUGAUGAAAUUCAAGUAGAUGAAGAGUAGUAGUAACAUUUAUUUUCAUUCAUUGAAAUUAUAUAAUGAAGAUGGCUAGAGAUGGAAUUGGAAGAAAUUGAAGAAAAUAAUGUUGUUUUCAAGCUUAUAGUUUUAGAUAGAAAACUAUUUUGUAUUCACAUUAUCCAAUUUUUUUUUAAAUUAUUUUGAAGUUAAGUAGUUUAGUAACUUAAAUGAAUAUUUUUGGAUCAAUAAUGUA